rnacentral:lncRNA from 1 species
CUCUCUGAAGUAAACAAAAUAAGAAUUUAUGCUAUUGACCUUGUUAAGUAACUAACAUUUUUCCUCCUCUGCAAUAGCUUUUGCUUUCUCCCACAGUUCAACCCCUCCUGAGCCCGAGGCCGCACGCUACACUGGAAUAUUCAAUCCCGCAUUUGAAUAAGCUGAAUAAAUCCAGCCAUACUGCUAAACAUAUGAUUUGAAACCCAUAAAUCCAGGAAGACCAACCCCUGCCCAUCUCAGAGCUGGAAACACCACAACUUGUCCCAUUUGUCCCAGAAAGACCUGCA